rnacentral:tRNA from 1 species
UGCAUCGGCCGGGAAUCGAACCUGGGCCGCCCGCGUGGCAGGCGAGCAUUCUACAACUGAACCACAGAUGC